GGUUAAGCGACUAAGCGUACACGGUGGAUGCCCUGGCAGUCAGAGGCGAUGAAGGACGUGCUAAUCUGCGAUAAGCGUCGGUAAGGUGAUAUGAACCGUUAUAACCGGCGAUUUCCGAAUGGGGAAACCCAGUGUGAUUCGUCACACUAUCAUUAACUGAAUCCAUAGGUUAAUGAGGCGAACCGGGGGAACUGAAACAUCUAAGUACCCCGAGGAAAAGAAAUCAACCGAGAUUCCCCCAGUAGCGGCGAGCGAACGGGGAGCAGCCCAGAGCCUGAAUCAGUGUGUGUGUUAGUGGAAGCGUCUGGAAAGGCGCGCGAUACAGGGUGACAGCCCCGUACACAAAAAUGCACAUACUGUGAGCUCGAUGAGUAGGGCGGGACACGUGGUAUCCUGUCUGAAUAUGGGGGGACCAUCCUCCAAGGCUAAAUACUCCUGACUGACCGAUAGUGAACCAGUACCGUGAGGGAAAGGCGAAAAGAACCCCGGCGAGGGGAGUGAAAAAGAACCUGAAACCGUGUACGUACAAGCAGUGGGAGCACGCUUAGGCGUGUGACUGCGUACCUUUUGUAUAAUGGGUCAGCGACUUAUAUUCUGUAGCAAGGUUAACCGAAUAGGGGAGCCGAAGGGAAACCGAGUCUUAACUGGGCGUUAAGUUGCAGGGUAUAGACCCGAAACCCGGUGAUCUAGCCAUGGGCAGGUUGAAGGUUGGGUAACACUAACUGGAGGACCGAACCGACUAAUGUUGAAAAAUUAGCGGAUGACUUGUGGCUGGGGGUGAAAGGCCAAUCAAACCGGGAGAUAGCUGGUUCUCCCCGAAAGCUAUUUAGGUAGCGCCUCGUGAAUUCAUCUCCGGGGGUAGAGCACUGUUUCGGCAAGGGGGUCAUCCCGACUUACCAACCCGAUGCAAACUG
rnacentral:rRNA from 1 species